UUUUUUUGCAAAAUAAACCUUCAUGUCAAAUAAAUACAAACCACAAUCUGAAAAAUCUCCUGCAACAUAGCCCUUCCAUGUAUCGAUGACGUGACAGUCGAUAACUCAUUUAGAGCAUGUGCAAUGGAUAGAGAUUUUAUGAGUCAUUUAUUUAAGGUGCAAUGUGCAAUGGGUAAACACUAAAACUUAAAUAAAUGAUAACCGUAAUUUUAAAUAAAAAAACAAAAUUAAAUUUUUGAAUCAAUAACUGUAAUUAGGCCUGGGCAUAAUAACCGGACCCGAUACCCAAACCGAUACCCAAACUGAAAAAGCUGGGUUGGGGCGGGUUAGGGUAAAAGGAUAUUACCUCAUUGGGUUUGGUUUUGGUUAACCCGUGGGUUCGGGUUCGGGUAGGGUAUUACUCAUUACCCAUUCCGGGUACCCAUACACCCGAUUCUUGUGCUUAU
rnacentral:sRNA from 1 species